rnacentral:rRNA from 1 species
GAUGAACGCUAGCUACAGGCUUAACACAUGCAAGUCGAGGGGCAGCAUGGUCUUAGCUUGCUAAGGCCGAUGGCGACCGGCGCACGGGUGAGUAACACGUAUCCAACCUGCCGUCUACUCUUGGACAGCCUUCUGAAAGGAAGAUUAAUACAAGAUGGCAUCAUGAGUCCGCAUGUUCACAUGAUUAAAGGUAUUCAGGUAGACGAUGGGGAUGCGUUCCAUUAGAUAGUAGGCGGGGUAACGGCCCACCUAGUCUUCGAUGGAUAGGGGUUCUGAGAGGAAGGUCCCCCACAUUGGAACUGAGACACGGUCCAAACUCCUACGGGAGGCAGCAGUGAGGAAUAUUGGUCAAUGGGCGCAGGCCUGAACCAGCCAAGUAGCGUGAAGGAUGACUGCCCUAUGGGUUGUAAACUUCUUUUAUAAAGGAAUAAAGUCGGGUAUGUAUACCCGUUUGCAUGUACUUUAUGAAUAAGGAUCGGCUAACUCCGUGCCAGCAGCCGCGGUAAUAC